GAAGUGCCACCAGCUGAGGAGCCAGAGGAGCCAGGAGACAUCCAGGUGCUGGCACCACAAGACGUGUUCCUCAGAGGAAGGCAGCAGCGCAGCGCAGUUGUCAACCUUUUCUGAAGGACACAGGAAUGGUGCUCAGUGAUGUCCUGCGCUAUGGCGCGCACCUGCUCCAGGAUCCCCUCCUGGGCUGCUGCCGUCCGCUCUGCCGCGACAGCGAGGCGGGUUGUGGAGGCCUCGAUUCUGCGCAGCACCUGGAAUGAAUAAUCAUGGUGGAACUGUUCGCAUCAGUUGCUGAUUACUCGCAACCAGCUCACGGCUGCAAGCUGCUGUUGUGAAGAAUUGCAACGUGCACAACGAUUCCCUCUCUGCUGAAGAGCCACUGGCCUGAUGGCAUCCUUUGGCAGUGUCAAGCGUCGAGUACAAGCUAUGCCCUCUUCGUUUGGACAGACAAAGACCUGCUGGAACUACUCUUCCGUCAUCUACUCUAAUGCAUCUCUCACCAUCAAACAGCCCUUUUCAGGGCUAACCAACUUUUCGUCCGGCGGCUGAUCGUUGGCAAGACACGUUACCGAGCCCUCUAUACAACGCAUAUUUCUUGUUUACAUCCCAAGCUGAUUUGUUUUUCAGAUUCAUGAUUUACUUAUAACAAAGCAUAAAGAAUAUUUAUGUCC